GUUGAAGAACGCAGCGAAAUGCGAUAAGUAAUGUGAAUUGCAGAAUUCAGUGAAUCAUCGAAUCUUUGAACGCACAUUGCGCCCGCUAGUAUUCUGGCGGGCAUGCCUGUCCGAGCGUCAUUUCAACCCUCAAGCCCCCGGGCUUGGUGUUGGGGAUCGGCGAGCCUCCGCGCCCGCCGUCCCCUAAAUCUAGUGGCGGUCUCGCUGUAGCUUCCUCUGCGUAGUAGCACACCUCGCACUGGGAAACAGCGCGGCCACGCCGUUAAACCCCCAACUUCUGAACGUUUGACCUCGGAUCAGGUAGGAAUACCCGCUGAACUUAAGCAUAUCAAUAAGCGGAGGA
rnacentral:misc_RNA from 1 species